rnacentral:rRNA from 1 species
GGGGAAUUUUGGACAAUGGGCGCAAGCCUGAUCCAGCAAUGCCGCGUGAGUGAAGAAGGCCUUCGGGUUGUAAAGCUCUUUCGGACGGAAAGAAAUCGGUGGGGUGAAUAAUCCUGCUGGAUGACGGUACCGUAAGAAGAAGCACCGGCUAACUACGUGCCAGCAGCCGCGGUAAUACGUAGGGUGCGAGCGUUAAUCGGAAUUACUGGGCGUAAAGCGUGCGCAGGCGGCGCUGUAAGACAGGUGUGAAAUCCCCGGGCUUAACCUGGGAAUGGCGCUUGUGACUGCAGUGCUCGAGUGCGGCAGAGGGGGGUGGAAUUCCACGUGUAGCAGUGAAAUGCGUAGAGAUGUGGAGGAACACCGAUGGCGAAGGCAGCCCCCUGGGUCGACACUGACGCUCAUGCACGAAAGCGUGGGGAGCAAAC